rnacentral:rRNA from 1 species
GGCCUACCAUGGUUUUAACGGGUAACGGGGAAUUAGGGUUCGAUUCCGGAGAGGGAGCCUGAGAAACGGCUACCACAUCCAAGGAAGGCAGCAGGCGCGCAAAUUACCCAAUCCCGACACGGGGAGGUAGUGACAAUAAAUAACAAUACGGGGCUCAUUUGGGUCUCGUAAUUGGAAUGAGUACAAUUUAAAUCCCUUAACGAGGAACAAUUGGAGGGCAAGUCUGGUGCCAGCAGCCGCGGUAAUUCCAGCUCCAAUAGCGUAUAUUAAAGUUGUUGCAGUUAAAAAGCUCGUAGUUGAACUUCGGGGUUUACCCAUUGGUCAGGCUUAAUUGUCUGUACUGGUGAGAUGAAUCUCUACCUUCUGAGGAACUUUCAUGCCAUUUAUUUGGUGUGAUGGGAAAUCAGGACUGUUACUUUGAAAAAAUUAGAGUGUUUAAAGCAGGCUAACGUCUGAAUACAUUAGCAUGAAAUAAUGAAAUAGGACGGACUGAUUCUAUUUCGUUGGUUUCUAGGAUCACCGUAAUGAUUAAUAGGGAUAGUUGGGGGCAUUAGUAUUCAAUUGUCAGAGGUGAAAUUCUUGGAUUUAUUGAAGACUAACUACUGCGAAAGCAUUUGCCAAGGAUGUUUUCAUUAAUCAAGAACGAAAGUUAGGGGAUCGAAGACGAUCAGAUACCGUCGUAGUCUUAACCAUAAACUAUGCCGACUAGGGAUCGGACGAAGUUAAUUUUAUAAUGACGCGUUCGGCACCUUACG